rnacentral:tRNA from 1 species
GUAGACGUUAGCUCAGUGGUUAGAGCACAGGCCUCUGGCACUCGGGUCCGCGAGUUCGAGUCCCGUCGUCUACU